GUUAGUUGCUUGAGGAAGUCCUCCUUAAAGUCAAAGACUAUGCAGCCAGUGAUUAGGUAUGAGUUGAUGAUGGAAGUGAGAAAUGGUACAAUGUCUCUGUUACGGGUUGCUUCCCCUCCGCCCUGAGUCAGGUGGUUCGGUCCCUGUUUUGUUUUUUCACCUGGAGUGCUGGGGGUGUGUUCAGUAGGGCAAGGGGCGUGGCAGUGUCUUCACUGCAGAGCCAUUCUUCGCAGCUGCACCUCAUCCACAUGAUUCACUCCAGCAAUAUUUAAAACCGGGCUGAUCACCUCUUCGGCGCCAGUUCGUUAUCUACUACCCAUGUGACCUGCUGCUUCCUCUGCUGCGCCUACUAGCUCCUGGCCUCACCACCCAGCCUUCACCGUCAGCUCUCCCCCAGCUUCGGACCUGCCUACACUGUUUUCUCUGAGUACCCUGGCUCUCCAUUAAAACCUUUUUUUUGAACCUA